AGGGUGUAUCUCAGUGGUAAGAGCAUUUGCCUAGCAUGCAUGAGAUCCUGGGUUCCAUCGCCAGCACCACUA
rnacentral:tRNA from 1 species